rnacentral:rRNA from 1 species
GACGUAGGGUGCAAGCGUUGUCCGGAUUUACUGGGCGUAAAGAGCGCGUAGGCGGUCCAUUAAGUGUGAAGCUAAAUCUCCCGGCUUAACCGGGAAACUAUUUCGCAUACUGAUGGGCUGGAGUGAUGCAGAGGUGGAUAGAAUUCCCGGUGUAACGGUGAAAUGUGUUGAUAUCGGGAGGAAUACCCGUGGCGAAGGCGGUCCACUGGGCAUCAACUGACGCUGAGGCGGGAAAGCGUGGGUAGCAAACAGG